UGUUUAAUGUUUUAUGUGUCAUUCCUAACUGUCACUGUGUGUCGUUGUCACUUGUGGGUGGAGCACCAAGGCAAAUUCCUUGUAUGUGAAUACCUGGACAAUAAACAUGUUCAUUCAUUCACUUAGAGGGUGUUAAAGUGUGC